CCUACGGGAGGCAGCAGUAAGGAAUAUUGGUCAAUGGAGGCAACUCUGAACCAGCCAUGCCGCGUGCAGGAAGACGGCCCUAUGGGUUGUAAACUGCUUUUGAACUAGAGAAAACCUUGGUACGUGUACCGAGUUGAUAGUAUAGUUAGAAUAAGCAUCGGCUAACUUCGUGCCAGCAGCCGCGGUAAGACGAAGGAUGCAAGCGUUAUCCGGAUUCAUUGGGUUUAAAGGGUGCGUAGGCGGACUGAUAAGUCAGUGGUGAAAUCUCUCAGCUUAACUGAGAAACUGCCAUUGAUACUGUUAGUCUAGAGUACAGAUGAUGUGGGCGGAAUAUGACAUGUAGUGGUGAAAUACUUAGAUAUGUCAUAGAACACCGAUUGCGAAGGCAGCUCACAAAACUGUAACUGACGCUGAGGCACGAAAGUGCGGGGAUCAAACAGGAUUAGAUACCCUGGUAGUCCGCACCGUAAACGAUGAUUACUCGUUGUUGGCGAUAUGACAGUCAGCGACCAAGCGAAAGCGAUAAGAAUCCACCUGGGGAGUACGCCGGCAAACGGUGAAACUCAAAGNGAAGUGACGGNGNGAGAGNGACGACGACGACGACGAGGGAGGAG
rnacentral:rRNA from 1 species